CAGCUAUACAUGCAGUCGAGCGAACAGAUAAGGAGCUUGCUCCUUUGACGUUAGCGGCGGACGGGUGAGUAACACGUGGGUAACCUACCUAUAAGACUGGGAUAACUUCGGGAAACCGGAGCUAAUACCGGAUAACAUUUGGAACCGCAUGGUUCUAAAGUGAAAGAUGGUUUUGCUAUCACUUAUAGAUGGACCCGCGCCGUAUUAGCUAGUUGGUAAGGUAACGGCUUACCAAGGCGACGAUACGUAGCCGACCUGAGAGGGUGAUCGGCCACACUGGAACUGAGACACGGUCCAGACUCCUACGGGAGGCAGCAGUAGGGAAUCUUCCGCAAUGGGCGAAAGCCUGACGGAGCAACGCCGCGUGAGUGAUGAAGGGUUUCGGCUCGUAAAACUCUGUUAUUAGGGAAGAACAAACGUGUAAGUAACUGUGCACGUCUUGACGGUACCUAAUCAGAAAGCCACGGCUAACUACGUGCCAGCAGCCGCGGUAAUACGUAGGUGGCAAGCGUUAUCCGGAAUUAUUGGGCGUAAAGCGCGCGUAGGCGGUUUCUUAAGUCUGAUGUGAAAGCCCACGGCUCAACCGUGGAGGGUCAUUGGAAACUGGGAAACUUGAGUGCAGAAGAGGAAAGUGGAAUUCCAUGUGUAGCGGUGAAAUGCGCAGAGAUAUGGAGGAACACCAGUGGCGAAGGCGACUUUCUGGUCUGUAACUGACGCUGAUGUGCGAAAGCGUGGGGAUCAAACAGGAUUAGAUACCCUGGUAGUCCACGCCGUAAACGAUGAGUGCUAAGUGUUAGGGGGUUUCCGCCCCUUAGUGCUGCAGCUAACGCAUUAAGCACUCCGCCUGGGGAGUACGACCGCAAGGUUGAAACUCAAAGGAAUUGACGGGGACCCGCACAAGCGGUGGAGCAUGUGGUUUAAUUCGAAGCAACGCGAAGAACCUUACCAAAUCUUGACAUCCUUUGAAAACUCUAGAGAUAGAGCCUUCCCCUUCGGGGGACAAAGUGACAGGUGGUGCAUGGUUGUCGUCAGCUCGUGUCGUGAGAUGUUGGGUUAAGUCCCGCAACGAGCGCAACCCUUAAGCUUAGUUGCCAUCAUUAAGUUGGGCACUCUAGGUUGACUGCCGGUGACAAACCGGAGGAAGGUGGGGAUGACGUCAAAUCAUCAUGCCCCUUAUGAUUUGGGCUACACACGUGCUACAAUGGACAAUACAAAGGGCAGCUAAACCGCGAGGUCAUGCAAAUCCCAUAAAGUUGUUCUCAGUUCGGAUUGUAGUCUGCAACUCGACUACAUGAAGCUGGAAUCGCUAGUAAUCGUAGAUCAGCAUGCUACGGUGAAUACGUUCCCGGGUCUUGUACACACCGCCCGUCACACCACGAGAGUUUGUAACACCCGAAGCCGGUGGAGUAACCAUUUAUGGAGCUAGCCGUCGAAGGUGGGACCCA
rnacentral:rRNA from 1 species